rnacentral:rRNA from 1 species
GAUUAACGCUGGCGGCGUGCAUAACACAUGCCAGUCGAACGAUGAAACUUAACUGCUUUCUUCGGCAUGAUUUUAAGUGGAUUAGUGGCGGACGGGUGAGUAACGCGUGAGUAACCUGCCUUGGAGAAGGGGAUAGCCUUUGGAAACGAAGAAUAAUACCCUAUGAUAUGAUAAUAUCUCAUGAUAUUAUCAUCAAAGAUUUAUCGCUCUAAGAUGGACUUGAGUCUGAUUAGUUAGUUGGUGAGGUAACAGCUCACCAAGGCAGCGAUCAGUAGCCGGCAUGAGAGCGUGUACCGCAACAUUAGGAGUGGGACAAGGCGCGGACUCUGAAGGGAGGGAGCAGGGGGGAAUUAUGCACGAUGGGGGAAACAAUGAUGCAGCGACGCCGCGUGAUUCAGAAGGCCUUGGGGUUGUAAGAAUCUUUUGUAUGGGAAGAAAAUGACAGUACCAGAAGAAUAAGGACCGGCUAAUUACGUG